rnacentral:ncRNA from 2 species
AUGAGAAUAAGGGGAGAGAUUGCAGAUUAUUAGCAACGCCGAAGGAGCAAGUACCCGAUAAUGUGUUUAUCGAUACGAAUCUCUCAGGCAAAAAGACUCUUAUUUGACG